UCUGAAAAAGAAAAAACGAAACUCUACCACAACCACUACGACUGCUCCCACUAGCACUACCACUACUACAACCACCGUGGUCACUGUUACUACGGCCACAGUGAGAGAAUUAAAAUAGUGGAGGUGGGGGCAAUUACAAUUUCUCAGAUCCUUAAACAGUCACUCCUGCUUAGGGAAGGAAAAAUUUAUAAAAAGAUUUUUUUCUCUGCGAACAGAUCUGAUUUUGAUUAGUCAAAAAAUUGAUGACAUUUUACCUCAGUAGUCAAGCUUGUCGCCAUGCUUGAUUGGUUUCCUUACAAGAUACAGUUAUGGGUCAGGUCUAAUUCUGAUUCGUUAAAAAAUUGAUGACAUUUUUCUUCCGUGGUCAAACUAGCCGUUCUGCAAGGUUAGCCACCUAACAGGAUACCCAUACCAACCAGGGACCAUUACACUAAGGAACUAAUAUACAGGAUCGAUGAAUUUAUCCACAGGAUUAGAUGGGAAAUAUUUAACCAUGAGAAAAAUCUCACAAAAGUGAACUACGAAGACAAUAACGACCACGAUUACACUAGAAUAAGAAGUAAUUAUGAAGAAAUAAUUGAACUCACUAGAAAUACUUUCAAAUCAAGAAAAUCACCACCACCAAACAAAUACUUGGAUAACUUCAAGCAGGACUUAUGGAACACCAUUAGGAGUAUUAAAUUCAAGAACCAUCCACUAAGGAAUAACCCAUACCAAAGGAAAUUAUAAGAACUCUUAAGAGUAAAACUUACCAUGAGUUAUUACUUAAGGAAAUCACAAAAAAAAUAUAGGGUUGUACCUUUUGAGGUAUAUAUAUAUCUUGAAAUGGCACAAAAUGCUGGGAAGAAAAUUACAGGAAGUGGAACUUACAAACUGAUACAUGCUGUUAAAUAUAAGUUAUCUCGCUCUGUAACCACACAAAGAAUCUUUAUAGAUCCAGGAAGCAAAUGAGCUGUUAUACAUGAAUAAGGCAAUUCAUAAUACCUUAUAAAAUAAAGGAUUUAAUCACUACAGAAGAAAAGACUUAUGUUAUGUUGAAAAAGUGAUCCCUUUCUUGAAAAACAGGUAAAGGUUAGUAUCAGGAAUGGUAUCCAGCCUCAAUAACACAAUUGUCUAACAUGAAAAAAUUUGUAAAACAAAGGAGUGAAGAUGAGAAUCAAAAUUGAUGUUUGUCCAACCCAUGACAGCAUGGAAAACAGACAUUAAAUGAUCCCAUGCCAGUGGCAUGUAAACGGCACCCAGCACACUGUAAAUUUGUUGGCAUUAUGAAGGGCAUCCAACCAAAAAAAACAUGCCAAAACAGACAAGUGGAGCCUGGACAGCUUUCUGACUGGCCAUCUCCUGUCAAACCAUCCAUCCCAUACCAGCAUGGAAAACGAGUGUUAAAUGAUGAUGGUGUUAGUGAUCCCUUAGAAUACUUGUUGACCUAGAAAGGAAUGAACACAAAGCUGUAAC